rnacentral:rRNA from 1 species
GUGCCAGCAGCUGCGGUAAUACGUAGGGGCGAGCGUUAUCCGGAAUUAUUGGGCGUAAAGGGUACGUAGGCGGUUACGUAAGCGCAAGGUGAAAGGCAGUGGCUCAACCAUUGUAAGCCUUGCGAACUGUGUGGCUUGAGUUCAGGAGAGGAAAGCGGAAUUCCUAGUGUAGCGGUGAAAUGCGUAGAUAUUAGGAGGAACACCAGUGGCGAAGGCGGCUUUCUGGACUGAAACUGACGCUGAGGUACGAAAGCGUGGGAGCAAACAGGAUUAGAUACCCUGGUAGUCCACGCCGUAAACGAUGAGCACUAGGUGUCGGCUCGCGAGAGUUCGGUGCCGUAGCUAACGCA